rnacentral:lncRNA from 10 species
ACUGCACUGCGUCCGCCCUCUUUGUUUCUGUCUCAGUCUCUCUGUCUCCCUUCGUUCUCUUUCUCUCCCCCUGCUACCCCCCCCCACAGUUACACACACACACACACACACACACACACACACACACACACACACGCAGUGUGAAAGAUGCGAGCCAUAGCAUCUCGUAACAUGAAGGCCAUCCAGCUCCAUCCUCCCACUGCUGCUUGAACAAUAUGCUUAACACGUAGUGCCGCAGUCGCUGCUUGGAUUGAAUGUGUUCAUGCACAGAUUUUAUCAUCUUGUUACUCAAACGACUGAUGGCUUCUGACCCUGCCUGAAAAUUUCCUAAGAGGUAACAGUUCUAGGACACAGAUGCUGGAGGGAGUGGAGGAAGAAGUUUAAUUACCACAUACAGCUCUUCCAUAUGCAAGGUCUCUGGGGCAAAACUGUCAUUCUGUCUGAAGCCAGACCCUCAAUGUCAGACUAAGAGAGUCGGAUGGAGACUACAUCUUCUGUGUGUGUUGCAAUGGGAGGACUUCUCUCCACCGAGUUUAGUGAGGGUGCUCAUAGUCUGAUGACAGGUAGAAACAACCAUAUAUCAAUCUUUAAACAAGAGAUUUCAAUGGUGCUUGAAGUAAAUCAAUAUAAGCAAACAGCUGAGUUUUUGGGCCUAAUAAUGAAAAUUUGCCACAUCUGUGCUUUGAAAAACUGUCUGGAGCUGGGGAGUUAAUGCAAAUUUAAGAGGAUGUAUAGUGAAGUAGAGAGUGGUGGCAAGGUGAACCACUCAGGAGAGGUUUGUAAAAUAUUCUGAUCCAUGGACAUGGUAUAUCACACCACUUAUUUAGUUAUUCUUAAUGUCUCAGCAAUGUUUUUUAGGUUUUAAUAUAUAGGUCUUGCUCACUUUUUAGAUUAUUUCUAAUUUAUAAUUUUGAUACUACCCUAAAUGGUAUAUUUUAGAACUUUAUUUAUUUUGAAAGAAUUAUAGGUUCAUGGGAAGUUGCAAAUGAAGUACAGAGAGGUAUCAUAUGCCUUUCACAUAGUUUCUCAAAAUGGUUACCUCUUACCUAGCUUAACUACAGUAUCAAAACCAGAAAACAGAAAUUGGUACAAUAUAUGUGUGUAUGUGUGUCUGUGUGUGUGUAGACAUUUUAUCUACGUGUAUUCUUUUAUUUUUUAAACAAUUUUUUGAUGUAUAAUUGACAUACAAAAAGCUGUUCAUUUUUAAUGUAUACAACUUUAUGAGUGUGAAGAUAAGUAUUUACCUAUGAAACCGUCAACACAAUCUAUGACAUAAACAUACCCAACAUCUCCAAAAACUUCCUCCCAUCAACUUUAUUAU